AGUCCUGGCGCGCGGGGCCCAGGGGCGGGGCCUAGGGGCCUCAGGGCAGGACAGGACGGCUGAAACCGAGGUCCCGGCGCGCGGGGCCCGGGCGCCGUGCAGUGAGAGCACGCCGCUUGACCGAAGGGGCGGGGCCUGAGGGCUGAGCGCAGUCGCGAGGCUGUAGUUGGCAGGAGAGCGGGCGGGGCCUGAAGCCCCUCUGGGCUGCCUGGACGGAUGAAGUCCAGGUGGAAAGCCAGUCGACGUUUCCCGGGAGCUACGACUCCAGGGACCCUCAUCCGAGCUUAACCGUUGGAACAAUCACAAACCCAGAAACUUUUAGCUGAGUGUUAUUUAUAAAAAGCGCUGUUUUGACUACUGUUGGACUUGGAAAAGCUUUGCCCACGAUACUGAAGCAUAAUUAGCUGCCUACUUUUCAAAAUUAUGUGAUGACUUCAUGGGAAAAGAGAUUCACAAGAACCAGUAACAGGAAAGCUUAAAUAAGCUUGGAAAUCUUUAAACUUUCAAUAUGGCAUGGGAAGAUGUGCCUUGCUUUUCCUUCGACUUCCUCCAUGAUCAUAAGUUUCCUGAGGCCUCCCAGUUAUGCUUCCUGUUAAGCCUGCAGAACUGGGACCUUGGUUAGCCAAAGUCAAGAAUGAGCUGUCAACAGUUUCCCAAAGGAAAACAAUGUGAAGAAUCAAGAAAUACUCUAUUUCACCAGAGGAAUCCUUGCAAAUACAUUUUACUCCACUAUGCAAAAUCCUGUGGAACCAGUUUUUUAUACAUAUUUUUAGCUGAAAGAUCAAGGAAAUGUGUCACAGUUGGGGACCUGUAUCAUAAUUAUCUCUGUAGGUUCUACAGCAUCCAGCAUGAUGUCCAAAGUAGAGAGAUUGGAAAAUGCCAAAGCAAUUGGGGAAAAAAAUACUGUUUUCUCUGAAAUGAAGACUCCUCAAGAUCCUGUUGCUGGAAUGAGUAUUGGACUCUUCUGUCUACUUCUACAGUCACCAGUACAUCUGGCAUACACUAUGAUGCCCAACAGUAGGGUGAUGAAAGAAAUGUAGAUGUUGGCAUUUCUAAAAGAGAUGUUGUAUCUUUUUUCCUACUUAAUAGACUAUUAGGCUAUAAAUCUCAAUCUUGGCCAGCAAA